ensembl:ncRNA F42C5.15 ncRNA
GGCACCGCCUCCAUUACCUCAUUGCUGUCGAGAAUUUGACCCUCUAGAACUGGUUUCACACAGCUUCUCCCUCCUUUUUUGAAUUGGAUGAUGAGUAAUCGUGUUACGUCACCUAUUAAUUAUAGGAGACGAGUAGGUGAAUCCGAUU